rnacentral:rRNA from 1 species
CCUACGGGGCGCUGCAGUGAGGAAUAUUGGUCAAUGGCCGCAGGUCUGAACCAGCCAAGCCGCGUGAGGGAUGACGGUCCUAUGGAUUGUAAACUUCUUUUGUCAGGGAGCAAACGCCGUCACGCGUGUCUCUCUGCGAGUACUUUACGAAUAAGCAUCGGCUAACUCCGUGCCAGCAGCCGCGGUAAUACGGAGGAUUCGAGCGUUAUCCGGAUUUAUUGGGUUUAAGGGGUGCGUAGGCGGAAGGUGAAGUUAGCGGUAAAAUUACAGGGCACAACCCGGUCGUGCCGUUGAAACUGGUGGGCUAGAGAGAAGGAGAAGUAGGCGGAAUGCAUGGUGUAGCGGUGAAAUGCAUAGAUAUCACACAGAACACCGAUUGCGAAGGCAGCAUACCAAGGUACAACUGACGCUCAUGCACGAAAGCGUGGGGAUCGAACAGGAUUAGAUACCCCAGUAGUC